rnacentral:tRNA from 1 species
AGCAGCGUGGCUCAGUGGAAAGAGCACGGGCUUGGGAGUCAGAGGUCAUGGGUUCGACUCCCGGCUCUGCCA